rnacentral:lncRNA from 1 species
UCCUUUGCAGACUACCAUUCCAUCACAUCAAUUUGAGCUUUUAUCCAAUUAUUUGCACUCUUAUUUGUUUCGACUCAACAAAUGUUUUGCAUGUUUUUAAUUGAUAAAGUAUCAUUGUUUUCAAAAUAAACAAAUUUUUCAAAAAAAUUAUUCUUAAACAAAGUGAACAUUCACGAUGAUGGAAGGAUACUUAGGAGAUCCGCAGUGCUCUCCCGAGGGUGGUAUGAUUACCAACAGGUAAG